CCUACGGGCGGCUGCAGUGGGGAAUAUUGGACAAUGGGGGCAACCCUGAUCCAGCCAUGCCGCGUGUGUGAAGAAGGCCCUCGGGUUGUAAAGCACUUUCAGUGAGGAAGAACGCCUGGUGGUUAAUACCCAUCAGGAAAGACAUCACUCACAGAAGAAGCACCGGCUAACUCCGUGCCAGCAGCCGCGGUAAUACGGAGGGUGCGAGCGUUAAUCGGAAUUACUGGGCGUAAAGCGCGCGUAGGUGGCUUGAUAAGCCGGUUGUGAAAGCCCCGGGCUCAACCUGGGAACGGCAUCCGGAACUGUCAAGCUAGAAUGCAGGAGAGGAAGGUAGAAUUCCCGGUGUAGCGGUGAAAUGCGUAGAGAUCGGGAGGAAUACCAGUGGCGAAGGCGGCCUUCUGGACUGACACUGACACUGAGGUGCGAAAGCGUGGGUAGCAAACAGGAUUAGAUACCCGUGUAGUC
rnacentral:rRNA from 1 species